rnacentral:rRNA from 1 species
AGAGUUUGAUCCUGGCUCAGGAUGAACGCUAGCUACAGGCUUAACACAUGCAAGUCGAGGGGCAGCAUUUCAGUUUGCUUGCAAACUGGAGAUGGCGACCGGCGCACGGGUGAGUAACACGUAUCCAACCUGCCGAUAACUCGGGGAUAGCCUUUCGAAAGAAAGAUUAAUACCCGAUGGUAUAAUUAGACCGCAUGGUCUUGUUAUUAAAGAAUUUCGGUUAUCGAUGGGGAUGCGUUCCAUUAGGCAGUUGGUGAGGUAACGGCUCACCAAACCUUCGAUGGAUAGGGGUUCUGAGAGGAAGGUCCCCCACAUUGGAACUGAGACACGGUCCAAACUCCUACGGGAGGCAGCAGUGAGGAAUAUUGGUCAAUGGGCGCAGGCCUGAACCAGCCAAGUAGCGUGAAGGAUGACUGCCCUAUGGGUUGUAAACUUCUUUUAUAAAGGAAUAAAGUCGGGUAUGCAUACCCGUUUGCAUGUACUUUAUGAAUAAGGAUCGGCUAACUCCGUGCCAGCAGCCGCGGUAAUACGGAGGAUCCGAGCGUUAUCCGGAUUUAUUGGGUUUAAAGGGAGCGUAGAUGGAUGUUUAAGUCAGUUGUGAAAGUUUGCGGCUCAACCGUAAAAUUGCAGUUGAUACUGGAUGUCUUGAGUGCAGUUGAGGCAGGCGGAAUUCGUGGUGUAGCGGUGAAAUGCUUAGAUAUCACGAAGAACUCCGAUUGCGAAGGCAGCUCACUGGACUGCAACUGACACUGAUGCUCGAAAGUGUGGGUAUCAAACAGGAUUAGAUACCCUGGUAGUCCACACAGUAAACGAUGAAUACUCGCUGUUUGCGAUAUACAGUAAGCGGCCAAGCGAAAGCAUUAAGUAUUCCACCUGGGGAGUACGCCGGCAACGGUGAAACUCAAAGGAAUUGACGGGGGCCC